rnacentral:tRNA from 1 species
AGCUCCCUGGUUUAGUGGUCACUGCACUCGCCUUGCACGCGGGAGACCCGGGUUCGAUUCCCGGCGGGGUCA